rnacentral:rRNA from 1 species
UACAGAGGUCUCAAGCGUUUGUUCGGAUUCAUUGGGCGUAAAGGGUGCGUAGGCGGCGCGGUAAGUCGGGUGUGAAAUCUCGGAGCUUAACUCCGAAACUGCAUUCGAUACUGCCCGUGCUUGAGGGACUGGAGAGGAGACUGGAAUUUACGGUGUAGCGGUGAAAUGCGUAGAUAUCGUAAGGGAAGACCAGUGGCGAAGGCGG